UUUUAGAAAUUAAUUUAAAGUCUAACCUGCCCACUGAAUAUAUUUAAAUGGCCGCAGUAUUUUAACUGUGCAAAGGUAGCAUAAUCAUUAGUCUUUUAAUUGAAGGCUGGAAUGAAUGGUUGAAUGAAAUAUUAACUGUUUCAUAAAAAUUUAUAAUAGAAUUUUAUUUUUUAGUCAAAAAGCUAAAAUAAAAUUAAAAGACGAGAAGACCCUAUAAAUCUUUAUAUUUUUAUAAUUUUAAUUAUAUAGAUAAAUUAAAUUAUUAUUAUAAAAAAUAUUUUAUUGGGGUGAUAUUAAAAUUUAUGAAACUUUUAAUUUAUAAUUAACAUAAAUUAAUGAAUUAUUGAUCCAUUUAUUAUGAUUAAAAAAUUAAGUUACUUUAGGGAUAACAGCGUAAUUUUUUUAGAGAGUUCAUAUUGAUAAAAA
rnacentral:rRNA from 1 species